GUUUAAUAAAAACAAAGCAAAGUGAUGGCCAGAAAUGGUUUUGACACUUUGUUAAUCCUGCCCAGUGCUUUUGUACGUUAAUGUGAUGAAAGUUGAGCAAGCACAGGUAAACGGCGGAAGUAACUAUGACUUUCUUAAGGUAGCGAAAUGCCUCGGCAUGUAAUUUGUGUCCUGCAUGAAUGGAUCAAUGAGGUUCCUACUGUCCCUAUCUACUAUCUAGCGAACCCACAGCCAAGGGGAACGGGCUUGGCAAAAUCAGCGGGGAAAGAAGACCCUGUUGAGCUUGACUCUAGUCUGACUUUGUGAAAUGAAUAAAGCGGUGUAGCCUUAGCUGGGAGCCUUGCGUCAAUGAAAAACCAGUACGUUUUGAUUCAUUUUACUUAUUCCGUGAGGUAGAAUGCCCUUACGGGCUUUUCUAGUUUUAAGGUCAUCUAAUGGCUUGAUCUAGGCGGAAGACAUAGUCAGGUGGGGAGUUUGGCGUGGGGCGGUACAUCUGUUAAACGUCAACGCAGGU
rnacentral:rRNA from 1 species